ensembl:lncRNA
CUCCGGCGGGUCUUCGGCAGCGGGGCCUGGGUCUCCGGCAGCGGGGUCUGGGUGUCCGGCAGCGGGGCCUGGGUCUCCGGCGGCGGGGCCUGGGUCUCCGGCGGCGGGGCCUGGGUGUCCGGCACUGUGGUGUCAGCGAGGAAAAGCUCUGCUCCUGCACAACGUUUGAUCCGAUGUUGUGGGUAAACAGAUUAACAAGAGGCCUAUCAAUUAUUGAUAUAGAAAUAAACAAUCUUCUUUCCAUAUUGAGGUCACAUGGAGGCAUCAGUAUCGAGUGUCUGAUUAAACAAUUGUUGAUUGUUUGAUCGCUAAGUUUUGUCACAUCUAGUUUACAUUUUACUUUUAAAUGAGUUUCCUCAUAGAAUUACAUUCAACAUGUUUUAUUGGAAUUUUCAUAAUUAACUGAUGAUGAAUUCAAUUAAAUCCAUAUGAAGGAUGGUGAAUUCACUGUAUUUACUGUACAACUGAAAAUAAAAUGUGUAAACUAAA